rnacentral:lncRNA from 1 species
AUUUCAUAUGGUCAUGUACAUCAAUUACUUGCUGCUUCUCACAACCGUAAAUGUAAAUAUUUCGCCUAUUGGCGACUUACGUCGACCGUGCAUUGGAAACUAAAGUAUGUGAUUAUCAGAAAUAAUUUGUUUAUUUGUAUGGAAAAGUGUGUGCCCCCAUUGUUCGAGUGUAUUUGAUUGCUUAGCCCUUUCAGUUUAACUCCACGUGAACCAGUCAAGAAUUAUUUAUUAAGGCAAAUGGUAAUAAUACUUUUACUGCUCAUAGCUCGGGUUGGAAUUAUUUACGGACCAACUCACUACAGGAAUUGCUCAUAUUGAGGCAAAUUGUAAUACUCCCUCCGUCUCUG